rnacentral:rRNA from 1 species
AUUGAACGCUGGCGGCAGGCUUAACACAUGCAAGUCGAGCGAGAGGCGGACGGGUGAGUAGUGUCUGGGAAACUGCCUGAUGGAGGGGGAUAACGACUGGAAACGGUAGCUAAUACCGCAUACCAUCAGAUGUGCCCAGAUGGGAGUAGCUACUAGGUGGGGUAAUGGCUCACCAGGGCGACGCUCCCUAGCUGGUCUGAGAGGCUGACCAGCCACACUGGAACUGAGACACGGUCCAGACUCCUACGGGAGGCAGCAGUGGGGAAUAGUGCACAAUGGGCGAAAGCCUGAUCGAGCCAUGCCGCGUGUGUGAAGAAGGCCUUCGGGUUGUAAAGCACUUUCAGCGGGGAGGCGGUACCCGAAGAAGAAGCACCGGCUAACUCCGUGCCAGCAGCCGCGGUAAUUC